rnacentral:rRNA from 1 species
GAUGAACGCCGGCGGUGUGCCUAAUACAUGCAAGUCGAACGCAUUUUCUUUCACCGUAGCUUGCUACACCGAAAGAAAAUGAGUGGCGAACGGGUGAGUAACACGUGGGUAACCUGCCCAUCAGCGGGGGAUAACACUUGGAAACAGGUGCUAAUACCGCAUAAUUCCAUUUACCGCAUGGCAGAUGGAUGAAAGGCGCUUUUGCGUCACUGAUGGAUGGACCCGCGGUGCAUUAGCUAGUUGGUGGGGUAACGGCCUACCAAGGCUGCGAUGCAUAGCCGACCUGAGAGGGUGAUCGGCCACACUGGGACUGAGACACGGCCCAG